UACGAAGGGGGCUAGCGUUGUUCGGAAUUACUGGGCGUAAAGCGCGCGCAGGCGGCUAUCCAAGUCAGUGGUGAAAGCCCGGAGCUCAACUCCGGAACUGCCAUUGAAACUGUUUAGCUUGAGGACGAGAGAGGUGAGUGGAAUUCCCAGUGUAGAGGUGAAAUUCGUAGAUAUUGGGAAGAACACCGGUGGCGAAGGCGGCUCACUGGCUCGUUUCUGACGCUCAGGCGCGAUAGCGUGGGGAUUAAACAGG
rnacentral:rRNA from 1 species